GGCAUGAUGGCAGAGUGGUCUAAUGCGUGUGACUCGAACUCAUAUAGAUAUCACAUCUCUUCGGAGGCCCAGGUUCAAAUCCUGGUCAUGUCG